rnacentral:lncRNA from 1 species
UGAAUAUUAGGCGUACGUGGGUUUUCAAGAUUAAUUAAGAAAAAAAGGACUUUCGCUUGUUUCAACCUUCAAGGCCUAGCUAGUUUCUUUACUGGUGUACACUACUAUACGUAUUAAAAAUAUGUGAUAACCUAAAAAAUUGUUUAGCAACAAAAGUGAGUAGAUAAUCAUCACUUUAAUUUUCAGAACUGGUUUUAUAGGGAUAUGUUUGGAAAAAAAAAAACAAGGGCAAUGCGCAUUUAUGUAUGGUAUUGAAUGUUACUGUUGAAUAUUACUUUAAAAAAGAAAAGAAAAUGUAUUGAUAUAACGGUGUAUGACGAUGAGAUGUUAUUAUAUAUAAAUCCAUAAUUUCCUCUUUUUG